AGCAGCCGCGGUAAUUCCAGCUCCAAUAGCGUAUAUUAAAGUUGUUGCAGUUAAAAAGCUCGUAGUUGAAUUUCGGGGUCAGUAGGCUGGUCGUGCCACAGGUACGCACUGGUCUCACUGAUUCCUCCUUCCUGAUGAACCGUAAUGCCAUUAAUUUGGUGUUGCGGGGAGACUGGACUGUUACUUUGAAAAAAUUAGAGUGUUUAAAGCAGGCUAACGCUUGAAUACAUUAGCAUGGAAUAAUGAAAUAGGACGUUCGGUCUUAUUUUGUUGGUUUCUAAGAUUGACGUAA
rnacentral:rRNA from 1 species